CUAUGGGUCGCAGCAGUGGGGAAUAUUGCACAAUGGGCGCAAGCCUGAUGCAGCCAUGCCGCGUGUAUGAAGAAGGCCUUCGGGUUGUAAAGUACUUUCAGCGGGGAGGAAGGGAGUAAAGUUAAUACCUUUGCUCAUUGACGUUACCCGCAGAAGAAGAACCGGCUAACUCCGUGCCAGCAGCCGCGGUAAUACGGAGGGUGCAAGCGUUAAUCGGAAUUACUGGGCGUAAAGCGCACGCAGGCGGUUUGUUAAGUCAGAUGUGAAAUCCCCGGGCUCAACCUGGGAACUGCAUCUGAUACUGGCAAGCUUGAGUCUCGUAGAGGGGGGUAGAAUUCCAGGUGUAGCGGUGAAAUGCGUAGAGAUCUGGAGGAAUACCGGUGGCGAAGGCGGCCCCCUGGACGAAGACUGACGCUCAGGUGCGAAAGCGUGGGGAGCAAACAGGAUUAGAUACCCGAGUAGUC
rnacentral:rRNA from 1 species